rnacentral:rRNA from 1 species
UACGGAGGGUGCAAGCGUUGUUCGGAAUUACUGGGCGUAAAGAGCGUGUAGGCGGCUGAUCAAGUCGGGUGUGAAAGCCCGGGGCUUACCCCCGGAAGUGCGCUCGAAACUGGUCAGCUAGAGUAUGGGAGAGGGAAGUGGAAUUCCUGGUGUAGCGGUGAAAUGCGUAGAUAUCAGGAGGAACACCGGCGGCGAAGGCGGCUUCCUGGACCAAUACUGACGCUGAGACGCGAAAGCGUGGGGAGCAAACAGG